ensembl:lncRNA
UCACACAAUGUUGGUAUUUUUAUUAAAGAAAAUUCAAACUCUUGAUUCCAGCUUUCAGUAUUCAAAAUCAGGAGCAAAGAACAGAAUCAUACAUAACCAAGAACAAUGUUUUUUCACAAAACAAUGGUCUGAUCUUUCCACUACUGACCCCUGUAUAAAGAAUCUCUCUCCAUUUACAGUCCCAAGGUGACUGCUACUCCUACUCUCCUUUGAAACUCUGUUCUUCUAGCUACCCUCUCACACCAUCUGGGUGGUUAAGAGUCUCCAGAACAGAGAGACCAUCUUCAAAACUGAAAAUAAGUUCCAAAUACCUUGGAUUUUUUUCUCAUUUCCAUAAUACAUUUCUCAUUUGGAAAAUAAACUAUGAACUUUCUCCAUCUGCCCACAGAGGAAAUAAGAAUACAAUCCAUAAUUAGCCAAAAUGGUAGUUUAUCUAUAGGCUACUUAUACCUUCCUUAAGCACAUCUGGAAUUUAGCUUCCCAACUUUUAAAGCCUUGGCCUUUAUGAAGAAACAAUUAACAUUUUCAUUAAGGCAUGGAUAUUCUAAAUUUCUGUUGUUAACAUUAUAUCUUGGUAAGAGUGGCCUUCCUUCCGGUUGGUCCACAGAAAAAGUUAUGAGCACAUAAGCACAGGCAAGAAGGCAUUUUCUAAUAAGCUGUUGAAGACCAGUUUUUUUGUGUAUGAACAGAGAUUGCUUCUAUAUUAAAGAGGCAAGAACACCACCUUCAAAAUUGUAAUUGUAUUCAAUUUCCCCCUUUUAAACCAAACGUACAUAUUAUUCACGGAAUCUGCAAUAUCAUCAUUAGAUUUUGAUUUUCUGUAACUUACCCUUCAUUCUAGUAUAAGUAGGAGUAAGUGUUAGAUGGGAUUUCACAUCUUCUUAAAGAAAAAGACGCCCCAAACUAUAAAUGUUUGUUUGAUUAAAACAGCCAUAAAAUUUCCUUAGAUAUUAGAUAUGACAGCUACAAACCGAGAAUAUUCUUACAUGGCUUAUUCCAUUCUUUGGAAGACACACACACUCAAAAGACAGUUUGUUACAGGGCAUGGUAGAUAAAAAUUUAGUUACCCUGCAAGGUACGUCUGCUGUGUGUCUCUAUCUGGUCCUUCAGAGAUAAUCAAUACAACCAGCAUCCCAGGAUUUCAAAACCCAUUUUAAAACCAGCAAAAUUAAGUUAGUGGAGCAGAAUGGAGAAUCUCAGUUGGAAAGAGCUGUUAUCACUUUGUCUUAUUAAGAAUAUCCAACAGCAGUGCAGGCACUAUUUUAGUAAGUCUGUUUUAUAAGCAGAAGGACUAAUAGCUGUACACAAAAUCCUCACAACUGGCAGAGGAAAAUCCCUUAUUUUGUAAAUAAACCUCCCUGCUCCCUUGUACACAAUAUGUUGAUGCUUCUGUAUCAAGUUCAGAAUGUAAUCAAGUCCAGAAUAACUGGUACUUGCCUAUAAUCAGCUAUCUGGACUUCUGCUAACAUUUUUGUUUCAAACUUUAGGUCCAGUAUGUGGUAUUUCAUAGCACUUCUUACUCAUCAAACCUGUGCCCACUUAAAAUGGACAGAUCAUACUGCAGAAGCUUUGAGAAAGAACUCUGUAAGAACUGAAGAUUAAGAGUUCAUUGUUACCAUGAUUAUUUUAUGGAGAACCUAAUUGAUUUGGAUUCUUCCUUUUAGUCUUUCAGACAGGGGAAGGGGACUGUCUGCCCAUGCAUAAGACAGAACAGCACCUUUGGCUUGCUGUGUGGGACCAGAACUUGACCUCUCAAAUGGUUGCUCUGGACUUUGGAAACAAUUAACAUCCCUUACAGAGGAUGGUUUUGGAGGUACCUGCAAUGAGAAACUAUUACCGUCUUUUUUUGAAGUAGUUGGUUUCUUCUUCCCUUCAAUUAUAAGGGCUGAGUCACUGUUUGUUCUUUUUCCAGAAAUGUUGUUACUCCUUUUCUUUGUAUAACAGUUUUUAAACUGACCAUGGCUCAGUUGCCUUUUCUGCUGCUCAUAAAUCUGAUUUUUAUUGAUGUUCUCAUCAUCACUGUCUUCACUAGAAGAACACCUGUUCUGACACACACUCUUCUUAAAAGAAGUUUUCCAAGAAGUUUGAAUACAAGCUUUUUCAAUGUGACAGCCAGUUAAAACAUCUGCUGGCUUUUGAGAUACUUGAAGCAUUUCACACCCAGGAUGAAGUAUCUCUGUUGUUCGCCCACUGAGGCCUAGAGAUGCUGAACUGCUUAUAUUAUGGCCUUUUUGCACCACUCCAGCCAGGCUGUCAGCCUUUUUGUACUGAUCUUGAUAAAUGCGUACACUGGAAUCCCUUGUGUGGUUUUCUGAUAGCACAUUUUUACUUUCCUGCACUACUUUAUUUAACUGACAUGAGGAGGAGAUGAAAACUUCAUCAAGAUUCAAUGUUUGUUCUGUUUGUUUAAAACAUUUCAAAGGCUCCAGUUGCAUUACAUCUGCAGACAACAAAGGCUUUGAUGGCAUGGAAGUCUUCUUAAGUAUUCGCUCAGUUAAAGACCACUUCUGAAGUUGUCCCAUAGCAUCAUCUGAAAUGAAAUCAUCUGCGCUAUCCAGAUGAUGCCGAUCAGACUGCAUAGCAUCAGAAUAUUCUGACCUAUUUCUCACUGUUUCAUGAGCCAGUGGAUGCGAGUAUUUUAUGCGUGUACUUAAGUCACUUGCUGGGUCAUGGGUAUCACCCCCAUGAGCUGGUGAAGUGUUGAAGAAGGUUCCUUCCC